rnacentral:rRNA from 1 species
UACAGAGGGUGCAAGCGUUGCUCGGAUUUACUGGGCGUAAAGCGUACGCAGACGGUUCGGUAGGUCGGAUGUGAAAGCCCUGGGCUCAACCCAGGAACUGCAUCCGAAACCCCGAGCUCGAGUAUGAGGGAGGGAAGCGGAAUUCCUGGUGUGAGAGGUGAAAUUCGUAGAUAUCAGGAGGAACAUCAGCGGCGGAAGGCGGCUUCCUGACGUCAUUAC